rnacentral:misc_RNA from 1 species
UCUCCGUAGGUGAACCUGCGGAGGGAUCAUUACUGAGUGAGGGCUUCGGUCCGACCUCCAACCCUUUGUCGUCCGACUAUGUUGCCUCGGGGGAGACCCUGCCUCCGGGCGGGUGGCACCCCGGUGGACCAAACCAAACUCUUGCGUAACAUGUCGUCUGAGUCGAUUUAAAAAAAUAAAUCAAAACUUUCAACAACGGAUCUCUUGGUUCUGGCAUCGAUGAAGAACGCAGC